AGUAGAUUAGUACUGCACUCUACAGCUAGUGAGCUAGGCAAUCACUUUUCCCUCCUUCGACUCUCACACCGACUCGCACUCUCCCAACACUCACAAUCUCAUGGCUCCGCCAAGAAUUCUUCUAUGCGGCGACGUUUUAGGCCGUCUUAAUCAGCUCUACAAGCGAGUCCAGCUGGUGAACAAAUCAGCCGGACCAUUCGAUGCGCUAUUUUGCGUCGGCCAGUUCUUUCCAGUGUCGCCGGAGCAGCUCGAAGAGUUCAUGGAUUACACCGAAGGACGCACUGAAAUUCCUCUUCCGACCUACUUCAUUGGUGACUACGGCGUCGCCGCUACUAAAGUACUGUCCGCCGCUUCUAGGAGCCACGCCAACUUAGGCUUUAAAAUGGACGGUCUUAAGAUUUCUGAGAAUCUUUUUUGGUUGAAAGGCAGCGGCAAGUUUACUUUACACGGUUUAUCUGUUGUUUACCUAUCUGGUAAGCAGUCAACGAAAGGUCAACAGUUUGGAACGUAUAGUCAAGACGAUGUUGAUGCGUUGCGAGCGUUGGCUGAGGAGCCUGGAAUUGUUGAUCUGUUUUUAACUAAUGAAUGGCCAAGUGGGAUCACUAAUAGAGCUUCUACAUCGGAAAUUCCUAAUGCAAUAUCGGAUUCCGAGGGUAGUGAUUCUACUGUUUCUGAGUUAGCAGCAGAGAUCAAACCGCGCUAUCACAUUGCUGGUGCCAAAGGUGUUUUUUAUGCUCGUGAACCCUACUCUAAUACUGAUGCUGUGCAUGUUACCCGCUUCUUGGGUCUUGCUUCAGUUGGGAAUAAGGACAAACAGAAAUUUAUCCAUGCACUUUCUCCCACUCCAGGAUCUACAAUGUCAUCCGCUGAGAUAAGCACGAAACCCUCUAACACUACAUUGUCCCCUUACACAUUUGUAGAGCAAACAGGCCCGCUUAAAGAAGCCAUGAAGAGGACAAAUGACAAUACAUCUGAUACACAAUAUUGGAGAUAUGAUACAUCCCAGAAACGUCAUAAAACUGGAGAUGCUGGUGAUAAGAUGUGCUUUAAAUUUGUUAUAUCCGGGUCUUGUCCUCGAGGAGAAAAAUGCCACUUUCAGCAUGACAUAAAUGCAAGGGAACAAUCAUUGAGAGGUGUUUGUAUUGAUUUUCUUAUCAAAGGUAAAUGCGAAAGAGGUCCAGACUGCAACUUUAAGCAUAAUUUGGUGAGUGAAGGCGAGAGUUAUUCUCACAGGAAGCAUGGCUCUGAAAAUGCUAAUGCUAACAGGUCGAAAGAGUGCUGGUUUUGUUUAUCAAGCCCCAAUGUGGAGUCAAAUCUAAUCGUUAGUAUAGGGGAAAAUUACUACUGUGCCCUGACCAAAGGCCCCCUUGUUCAAGAUCAUGUGUUAUUAGUACCGAUUGAGCAUUCACCGAAUACUCUUUUGCUACCUGAGGAAUGUGAAUCUGAACUUUUUAGAUUGAGAAACAGUCUCAAAAUAUACUAUAAGAAAUUAAGAAAGGAGGCUAUCUUAUUUGAGUGGGCUUCAAAGCAUGGUACUCAUGCUAAUCUUCAGGCUGUUCCUGUUCCAUUGUCCCGAGCAGCUGCUGUUCAAGAAAUAUUUAAAAUGGCCGCUGAAAAGUUGGGAUUUAAUUUUGUGACCAUGAACUUCACCAAUUCCGAUGGGAGAAAAUGGUUGAGGACACAAUUCGAUAGGAGCUGUAGCUUCUUUUACGUGGAACUCCCCGAUGGUACAGUUCUUUUCCAUUCAGUUGAGGAGAACGAGAGAUUUCCAGCACAAUUCGGACGCGAAGUUAUUGCAGGUUUGCUCAACAUACCUGAGAAAGCUGAUUGGAGGACUUGUUCACUUGGUAAAGAAGAGGAAACAAAAAUGGUAAAUGAAUUGAAGAGACAUUUUGAAGAAUUGGAGCCAACCAAAUGAUUGAUUCAAAUAAAUGCUAGAACCGGCAGCCUUUUUUCUUGAUACAAAAUACUAUUAAAUUCUCCACUUGCUAUGCUACUUCUCUCAGAGAGCUUGUUCAGAUAGCGGCGAAAUCAGCAAGCUGCGAGAGAAGAAACUUCCUAGCGUAACCGCUUGAUGCUGUGAUAAUUUUUAUUUGGUGAAUUUCUGAUUGAUAUUUAACUGUUGGACUUAUUAUUGAAGCACACAAUUUUGCUAAUGUCACAUGUCUUGAAAUUUUGGUAAUGAUACUUUUUCUGUGAUUGUGACCAAAUAUGUUGAUGGAACAUGGGCCAUUGCUACACCUCUUUUAUCACCUGCAGAUCUACCAAUAUGCAACUUCUAAAGCUCUUGUUCUUCAUUAUAGCAGGACCCAAAUUUGACUGUUGGGACCAAAAUAGUUAAUGCAUUAUUAAUAGUAAUACAUGGCAUGACAAGUUCCUAUGGAUUAAUUAAAUAGUGUGGUGCCUUGUGAAAUAGGUUAGAAAGAUUCUAGCCAAUAUCAGUAAUGUUCCACAUAAAGGGCUUCUCUUUUCAGCCUUAAUAAAGAGAAAGGCAAAAAUAACAAAAAGAU